rnacentral:lncRNA from 1 species
GACGGCUGAACAUCAGCUCCGCUGUAACUGGAGGAUAAUUGAGUGUAAGGACAGGCAGCCAUGCUAAAUGGCACACAGCUGAGGGGAAGAAUGGAGCGCUGACAGAGGGAGCCUCCAUGAUACUGCAGCGUCACUGUGGCAACACAAGCACACACAACAACACAACGCUGUCUUUUCUGCAGAUUAACACGCUGACGAGACACAAAAUCCAAGGAACAUUUGGUGAUAUGAAGGCUGCAUCCUCCUCUUCCAGGUACCGAACUUUACUGCACCCCCGCAGGGUGUGUUCUGAUGGCGUGUUCUGCACAUGGCAUGUUCUGAUGGCAUGUUCAGCCUCCUGGACUAAGAAAUGAAAAAACCGCAGUUGCUGCAGUGACCACAGACCUGUCUCUAAAAGUGUCCUCACAAAACUGGAGAAAUGAGGAGAAUGUCCCAUCAUUCAUCUCUGUUGGACUGAGAACUGAGAGUCCAGGUGUCACACACGGGGAGGGACGGUGCAGCGGUUUGGGACUAUUUUCAGCAGCGGAUUAAUCCUCAUUCGGUGCUCUGGAGACUGAAGUUAUCAAAGUGUGGAGCUCCCUCUAGUGGUGGCAUCUCAGAAAAAAACAAAGAGCUUGAUGUGAGGAUCAGAAUCAAAACUGUGACGAAGUGGGGUCAAAAUUCCAGCUGUGCUUCAUUCUGUGUUUCAGUGUUUGAAGCCCUCAUCUCACCUCUGCAGGUUAGAAGAUGGUGAGAGGAAGCCGUGUGUGUGUGUGUGUGGACGGACAGCGGGUCAGGACCAGGUGAAGGCAGCAACGGGGCUGUCUGCUGGGUAAUCCUGUCCUUGGCUGAGACAGGAGGACUCACUCCUCAACUGCUCACCUUGACUACUAAAAGAG